rnacentral:rRNA from 1 species
UGGGGAAUCUUCGGCAAUGGACGAAAGUCUGACCGAGCAACGCCGCGUGAGUGAAGAAGGUUUUCGGAUCGUAAAACUCUGUUGUCAGAGAAGAACAAGGACGUUAGUAACUGAACGUCCCCUGACGGUAUCUAACCAGAAAGCCACGGCUAACUACGUGCCAGCAGCCGCGGUAAUACGUAGGGGGCAAGCGUUGUCCGGAUUUAUUGGGCGUAAAGCGAGCGCAGGCGGUUUCUUAAGUCUGAUGUGAAAGCCCCGGGCUCAACCGGGGAGGGUCAUUGGAAACUGCGGGGCUUGAGUGCGUGAGAGGGGAGUGGAAUUCCGUGUGUAGCGGUGAAAUGCGUAGAUAUAUGGAGGAACACCAGUGGCGAAGGCGGCUCUCUGGUCUGUAACUGACGCUGAGGCUCGAAAGCGUGGGGAGCAAACAGG